rnacentral:pre_miRNA from 1 species
CCUUAACGAGAAUCUGAUACGGUUCCAGUCAGACCGGAGGGAAAAGACGCUAAUACAGCUUCGCAACC